UGCUAACACCCGCAGUAUUUUUGUUAGCCACCGUCUGUCUGCCCCGCAGAAAGACAAACUUCAGCUCGAGUUCCGGCUGUGUCGCUGUCAACGUCUCCCGGCCUCUCCGCGUCACUGAUGCAACUGACUCUCGGGGUUAGUUGUCGUUGCCACGUGUUAUUUGCGGGAUUCUUAAAAAAAAAAAAAACCGCCUCUUCAUGAAAUUGCUUAAGUACAACCGAGCGGUGGCCUUGUGCUCUCACAACCUAGCGAUAAAAGUGUCCCACAACUAUUUGUUAGUUUUUUUUUUUUUUUUUUUUUUUUUUUUUUUUUUUGGUUAUUACUUUUCUUUGCGAUGCACGCAGUCCUGUUCGGUGCCUUCAGCCAAGCAGAGUUGUUAAAAGACGAGUUAAUUUUCGCGGUCUGCAGAGAUUUUUGAAGGGCUCAAACUUGGGAAAGCGGAGAGAAAAGGCCCGGAGCUAUAAGAUGUAAUUGCUGUUAUUGGUACCAGGCCUGUGGGAAGGAUGGAGGGAGGCGUUUGUUUCAUCUGGACAAUUGCUUAGGUAUGCACAUGCUUCACAUUGGGAAGCCAGAGCUGGUGUCUUCCUCUGCCUCUUUCAGCCUCAGUCCCUUGAGACUGGGGGUCAGGGGAGCAUCCUGAACCUGAAGUUUGAGGGUUCUACAGUCAGGCUCUCUGGAUCAACCCAUCAACUCUGGGGUUAGAGGCACCCACAACCAUGCCUUGCUUUUACAUAGGAAUGGGACUCCCGACCUCACACAUACCGAGGGAGUACUCCACCAUGGCUUCAGCAGCUCGGCCUGCCCUGCCUCUGUGCUUACUCCUUUGAAGGCACCAAGUCCCCCAAAACCUGGGAACAGCAGCAGGCACUGAGAGGAGCUAGGACAGUGAUUCUCAACCUUCCUAAUGCUGUGACCCUUUAACAUGGUUCCUCAUGUUGUGGGAAAAAAAUUUAUUUUUGCUGCUCCUUCAUUACUGUAAUGUUGCUACUGUCAUGAAUCACAAAGCAAAUAUCUGGUAUGCAGGAUAUCUGAUAAGUGACCCCUGUGAAAGUGUCAUUCGUUCCACUAAAGGGCUCCUGACCCACAGGCUGAGAACUGCUGAGCCCAGGACUGCUCAGGACUUCCUGCCCAUCACAGUGAGGGAAAAGAGGUGAGAACCAGUGUCACAUAGCACAUUCUACCCCAGCCAUUCUCAGCAGCAUGAGUUCCAGGUGAGCCUGGUAUACAUGAGUUCAAAGGCAGCCAGAGCUACAUAACAAAGACCCUGUCUCAAAAAACUGACAAAGCAGGAAAGAUUGGCCAGGCUCCUAAGGAUGAGGCAGAGGGAUGGCUUGAGUUUAAACUAAGGCCAAGCCUGGACAACACAGUGAGAUGCUGUACAAAAAUUAAACGCAUAAAGCUAGCGCUAUAUUUACCUUAACAAAAAAUAAAAUUCAUUUUAAUAAAUGUAGGCCGGGCAGUAGUGGCACAUGCCUUUAAUCCCAGUACUUGAAAGGCAGAGGCAGGUGGAGCUCUGUGAGUUCAAGGCCAGUCUCAUCUACAUAAGUUUCAGGACAGCCAGGGCUAUCCCCUCUCCGAUCCCUGAAAAAAAAUUUUUUUUUUAAUUCACGGAAGUAUAUUCUAAUGGUACUGUAAGGGGUGUGACACCAUGUUCUAGAAGGAGGCACAAAGAAUUGUAUGAUGUUGGAGUAAGGAAAGUCUUUCCAAUUAGAACCAGAAAUGAUAGAGAUAUAAAUAUGUGUUUAUAUUGUGUGGGUGUAGGGUAUGGGAGGGACCUGGGUGACAGUCAGGACACAGUUUGGUUCUCCCCUUCAGUUGACCAGCUUACCAGCAAGCACUCCACCUACUAGAGAGCCAGCACAAGGUACACAUUUUUAUGAGCAAUUCACUUUAGAAAAAAAAUUAAAUUAUGUUGGAUAGAAGGAAAAAAUGCAGAAUGUUUUAAAAAGCAGAGCCAGUCAUAUGGUACAUCCCAUAAGCCCAGCACUCAGGAGGCUGAGGUGGGACACACCUGAGACCAAGGCCGCUGUAUAGAGAGACCUUGUCGAAAACCAUUUCUGUUUGCUCCUUUUCUCAAACGCCAGGAAAGCAGAGUAAAUGGUUAUAGCACACCUGAGACACAGACUCAGAGAAGACGCCAUUCAGCUGCAAGAAGGGACAGUCCGGUGUUAGGUGAGGCAGGGGCUGGAGAAAUGAUGGGGUGGGUGCAGGCUCUUGCUGCUCUCAAAGAGGAUUUGGUUCAACUCUUAGCACCUUUACCACAAGGCUCAGAGCUGCCUCAGUCCAGCUCCGUAGGAUAUGAAGCCCUCUUCUGCCUCCUCAGGCACUGGGGGACAUGCAUGUUCUCUCACACACACAAAUGAACCUCCAGGUUAGAAGUUUACAAAAAUAAUUAACAAAAAGAAUCCAAAUAACCAAAAAAAUACAGAGAAGGACAUAAUUUGCUGUCGCUGUAUGACAGAGGAAUCAGCCUGACUCAUCAAUUAACAAUGGUAACACAAUCUGAACAGUUAGUUGUUUGGUGACUUCGUUAUGCAGGCAUCAUUCAGGGCUCAUCCAGAGUGGAUAUGACGUCCCUUGGUCACUAGGCCACUCUUGGUUUUUGUGUUUUGUUUUUUUUGUUUUUUUUAAAGACCAGAGCUCCUAUGUACCCCUGGGUUGGUCUAAAACUCACUACAUAGGCCAGGCUGGUCUGGAACUCAGAAGUGUGUCUGCCUCUGUCUUUGGUGCUGGGAUUAAAGGUGUGUAGCACCACACAUGGCAAGGCUAUUCCAUCUUAAGAAACCACCAUUUUUUUCUAUGUGUGCUACACCACAUGGCCCAGGACUGUCUGUGCACACACAAACAAAACAUGCACACGUUGUAAAGACAGUACAAAGACACUUUUCAUAAAGUGUUUGAUUUCCUACAUAUUUUAGGAUGAGCCUCAAGAAAAUAUUGAGGGUGGCUACCUCAGGAGGUAAGGAGGUGGAAGGCGGGACUGGGGCCUAUACCACACUGCCACGUCACAUCACUGCUAUGACUGAGUAGUAACCCGUUGUAUGGAUUACACGUUAUGCAAGUCUCUGACUAUCAGACGUGCAGGCCUGGUUCCUAAUUAUUAUAGAUCUGUACAAUCUCCUGAUCAAAGAUCUGAAAUGAGACUCUGUGUGUGUUUAAGGCUUUCCAUUCAGGGUUCAGGGGUGGUUAACCAUUAGCCGGUGUGCACCCCUAAUGGCACUGGAGACUAAUUAUUCAUUGCUUCUUACCGGAACAAAUGCUGCCACAGCCUGGGAGAGGGUGGCCAGAUGUGAAUAAAAAAAACCAUACACAUUUAUCUUGAUGCAGAUCAUUUUUUUACAGGCCAAGCAUUAUGAUGUGUGAAAAUAGGGCUGGGUUGUUUUCAUCAAAAAUGAAUUAAUGUGUGGGUAAAGUUAGUACACCCUUGAAAGGAAGGAACUUGGUUAAGAGAAGGCUUUUCCAGUCCCAUGGUGUGUUUGUAAAUGGGAGUGAUCUCAAUUGUCUCCACAGGGUGUCCUGUAAAAGCCAAGGCAAUUCCUUUGUAUUUCCUUUUGUUUUUUGUUUUUGAGACAGGGUUUCUUUGUAUAACAGCACUGGCUAUCCUGGCACUGACUUUGUAGACCAAGCUGGCCUCCAACUCACAGAGAUCCACCUGCCUCUGCCUGCCGAGUGCUGUGAUCAAAGGUGUGUGCCAACACCAUCCGGUCCUUCAUUUUUUCUUGAAAGGCAGAAAUGCUUAUUCCCUUCCAAGCUUCAUGAAUAAAUGUAGGGUUUUUUGUAUUUAUCUAAUUGCUUAUUGCAGUGUUGGGGGUUGAACCCAGUACUUGCCGUGCUAGGCAAGCAGUGACUAUUGAGCGACACCUCAACCUUAACAAGCUUGAUUUUUAAAACUCUGGCAUCUGCUACAUAUUACUUAACUAUACCCGAUGUACAAAGACAGGUAUAUUCUGUUUUAGUUUUACAUUUCAGAGGUCCUUUAACGUAUAUAAACGUAAUACGUAUAUAUAACGUAUAAUGUAUAUAUAUAACAUACAAAACUGUACCAGUUUUAAAGAGAAGAAAGCAUUCCCUUUCUUGUUAGACAGAUGUUCACGUAUCCCAGGCUGGCCUGAAACUCCCUUAGGUGGCUGGGGGGACCUUCAACCUCUGAUCCCCCUGCCUCUCUAUCGCUAGGUCUGCAGACCUGCUUUACCUAGGGAUCAAGUUCAGGACUCCAUGCAUGAAAGCAAGCAAGUAUUAAGAGCGCUGCAGGAAUUAUAGGUGCACACCAUUGCAUUAGGAUGGGUUCUGGGGGAUCAAACUCAGGUCAAGCAAGUGCACCAAGCACUUUUGCCCAUCAAGCCAUCUCUCCAUCUCGAGAGGGGAAUCUUCAUUAAAUGGAAAGACAUUACUUUUGGGAGACAGGGCCUUACUGUACCGCUCUGUCUGGCCUGGAACUCAACAGAGACCCUCCACCUGCCUCUGCCCCUGAGUGCUGGGAAUAAAGAUGUGCACCACUA